rnacentral:rRNA from 1 species
GACGAACGCUGGCGGCGUGCCUAAUACAUGCAAGUCGAACGCAGUGGGGACGGGUGAGGAACACGUGGGUAACCUCCCAUCAGAGGGGAUAACACUUGGAAAAAGGUGCUAAACCGAUACUGAUGGAUGAACCGGGGGGGCAUUAGCUACUGGGGGGGGUAACGGCUCACCAGGGCCACGAUGCAUAGCCGACCGGAGAGGGUGAGCGGCCACACGGGGACUGAGACACGGCCCAGACUCCUACGGGAGGCAGCAGUAGGGAAUCUUCGGCAAUGGACGAAAGUCUGAUCGAGCAACGCCGCGUGAGUGAAGAAGGUUUUCGGAUCGUAAAACUCUGUUGUUGGAGAAGCGGUAUCUAACCAGAAAGCCACGGCUAACUACGUGCCAGCAGCCGCGGUAAUUC